rnacentral:rRNA from 1 species
GAAUUUUGGACAAUGGGCGAAAGCCUGAUCCAGCAAUGCCGCGUGCAGGAUGAAGGCCUUCGGGUUGUACACUGCUUUUGUACGGAACGAAAAGCUUUGGGUUAAUACCCUGGAGUCGUUACGGUACCGUAAUAAGCAGCCCCGGCACACCACGUGCCAGCAGCCGCGGUGAUACGUUGGGUGCAAGCGUUAAGCGGAAUUACUGGGCGUAAAGCGUGUGCAGGCGGGUUUGUAAGAGAGAGGUGAAAUACACGGGCUCAACAUGGGAACUGCCUGUGUGACUGCAAGGCUAGAGUACAGCAGAGGGGGGUGGAAUUCCGCGUGUAGCAGUGAAAUGCGUAGAUAUGCGGAGGAACACCGAUGGCGAAGGCAACCCCCUGGGCCUGUACUGACGCUCAUGCACGAAAGCGUGGGGAGCAAACAGG